CAAGGAUUAAGAAGGCAUGUUUCUGUUUCCUCACUUUCUUCACUCCAGACUCAGCGUGAUGUGAAACCUUCAUCCAUCUGGAGGCCAGAAGAAAGCGUCAUAUCCUUUGGAGCUAGAGUUGCAGGUAGUUGUCAACUACAAGGCGAAGGCGUGUAGCACCAAGGGAAUCAAACGCCGAGAGCAAAUCAAAUCCUUGUCCUCUGCCAGAGCAGCCAGCACUCUUCACCACUGAGCCAUCAGGUGCCUGCAGGAGAAUGGCUGUGUGAUCAGAAGAGGAAGACAAAAACAAAGAGCGUUAGUGGCACAUGGGUGAAGACAGAAGCAAACACAAGCUCAAAAGACUGAAGCAUAUGUCUGGUUGCUUCUCAGGGG